AUGUCUCAUCAGGGAACACCCCCCCCCAGUCCAUGUCCACCGUAAGCAGAUGGCUCCCCCCUCUCUAUAGCGAGGGUCUUUUUUUUUUUUUUUUUUACUGGGGUGAAAAUGCCAGGUCCACCCCCUCCUCGGGGUUCCUGGACACCCCGAGGGCCUGAGCCGGGUGAGGGAGCCCCCAUAGGGGCGGGGAGGCCGGCCGAGGUAGGUGGAGGAACUAUUUCUUGACGUAAUCCGUCUCUGUCGGCCCCGACGCUCCCGCAGUCUCUCAGCGAGCCGAGAUCAGCGAUUGUCAGUUCGGAACGUGGCUUUUAAAAAUGCGUUUUUAAAUAGUGUCUUGAAGAAGUGGAGGAGAGAUCUGCACAACUUAAGUGAGGCAUCCCCAUCCCAUCUGCCUGCUCAUCCUCUUUGGUCCUCCCAACUCCAUCUCCGCAACACCCUUACCCCCCC